ACGAACGCUGGCGGCGUGCUUAACACAUGCAAGUCGAACGGAAAGGCCCUGCUUUUGUGGGGUGCUCGCGUGGCGAACGGGUGAGUAACACGUGAGUAACCUGCCCUUGACUUUGGGAUAACUUCAGGAAACUGGGGCUAAUACCGGAUAGGAGCUCCUGCUGCAUGGUGGGGGUUGGAAAGUUUCGGCGGUUGGGGAUGGACUCGCGGCUUAUCAGCUUGUUGGUGGGGUAGUGGCUUACCAAGGCUUUGACGGGUAGCCGGCCUGAGAGGGUGACCGGCCACAUUGGGACUGAGAGACGGCCCAGACUCCUACGGGAGGCAGCAGUGGGGAAUAUUGCACAGUGGGCGGAAGCCUGAUGCAGCAACGCCGCGUGCGGGAUGACGGCCUUCGGGUUGUAAACCGCUUUCGCCUGUGACGAAGCGUGAGUGACGGUAAUGGGUAAAGAAGCACCGGCUAACUACGUG
rnacentral:rRNA from 1 species